CCAACCUGUAGAGAACAAUGACACUCUUCAGUCUUCAGAAACACUGAUAUAAAUAAUAACAUUUAUAUGAAUUUAUCCUUUUAUUUCAUUGGUUAGAAAGCGCAUGCUACAUUUUUUUCAACUCAGAUCUGUAGCAAAAGUGAAACACUUUCUUUCUAGUAAAGACCUCAAAAUUGUGAUUCAUGCACUAAUUUCUCCUCGUUUGGAUUACUGUAACUCUUUGUAUGUUGGCCUACCUCAAUCUGCACUGUCUUGGUUACAGAUGGUUCAAUUUUCCCUAUAAAAUUUAAAGUCGACUUAAAAAGGGUGGUUCAUUGCGAUUUCACUUUUUUUAACUUUAGUUAGUGUGUCAUGUUGCUGCUUGAGCAUAAACAGUACCUGCAAAGUUACAGUGCUGAAAGUUCAAUGCAAAUGGAGAUAUUGUCUUUUAAAGUUAUGGCAGUUUAAUGCCUACAAUUAUUAACUGUUUGGAUUUGGGUUGGUGACAUCAUAAAUCCUGCGAUUAACAUAAACCCUGCCCCCAGGAACACGCAACAAUGUCAAUGGGAACAGGCCAUGUUGUGUGGCAUUAUGGAAGUGGAAGAAUUGUUAACACUGGACACGCAAUGCGUCAAAAGAUGAUAGAACCCAUUAUAAUCAGUAAUAUUUUCUACACUGGAUGCGGCGCAGAAGACAGCUUCCAGAAUCUACAUGAGUUCAAUGCUGGAUUUGCACAAAGGCUAUUACUGAAAAAUGAAGCAGUUCCCACUUUAAAAGCAGAAGCUGUUGUUUAUAGGCCUCAAACUGGAAAAAGACAUGAAGAAGAUCUGAAAGACUGAGUGUUUUGUCCUUCAUCAAGUUGAGCUCUCUGAAAGGAAGUGGAAAUAUGAGCUGGAUGUCCUGAUUCUCUUUCCCUUCAGCCCAGUCCACAAUGAACUUCUGCACAGAGACUGUUUUUCCAAUGCCAGCAACUCCCUUUGUCAGCACAGUUCUGAUGGGUUUGUCUUGUCCAGGUAAAGGUCUAAAGAUGUCAUUGCAUUUUAUUGGUGUGUCCUCUGUUGCUCCUUUCCUGGAUAGUGUCUCAAUCUGUCUCACCUCAUGCUCAUUAUUGAUCUCUC